rnacentral:lncRNA from 1 species
GACGGGUGGCAGGUGGGUCAGAAUGACACAAAGAAUGCCACUGAAACCAGUUUAUCAAAUAAUGAGCAGUUUAUGUGUCAUCUUAUAGGUUCAUCCUUCUCUGGAGAAACUGACAAAAGAACAUUUGUCUACCCCUUCAUCGGACAAACCAGGUUAGCACGACUCUGGCUUAGCUGCAUCAGCGAUUCGUUGCUUCCCCAUAUGUUGAGAUUUCCUGAUGCAAAGCUUAGCCUGAGUAUAAUUACACUUCCCCCAGGGCAGAAUGCUCUUUCUUCGCUUAGACUGAUAACAUAAUUGCAUCAGAUUGGCCCCAGGAACUAAGCUGCGUAGGAAUGUACACGACUCUGAUUUUAGAGCAACUUCAGUAUCUAAAGCCCUUUAACCAGGGAGCCUGGAGUUUGAGCCUGAUGUUUCGACCUGCACUGCUGCUGUGUGGAUGGCCCCUGCAUAACUACUGAUAUUUUGUCAAAAAGACAAAGCAGAAGCAAAUCUGAGUAUUCCUCCACAGUUGAGACAUCUUAUUUUUUAAUAAAAUAAAAUCCAAGAAUUAGUGCAAGACACAUACCUGGGGGGGUGUCUUUCCCACACAUCCCUUAAUUCAUUGCACAAAAUAAUAUUAGUGUUUUACGUGAAAGGGCAAAGCGGUCUGGUAAAAGUAGUGCAGAACUGUAGAUAGAUAUAGAUGAUAGAUUAGAUAGAUAGAUGAUAGAUGAUAGAUAGAUAGAUAGAUAGAUAGAUAGAUAGAUAGAUAUAGAUAGAUAGAUAGAUGAUAGAUAGAUAGAUAGAUAGAUAGAUGAUAGAUGGUAGAUAGAUAGAUGAUAGAUAGAUAGAUAGAUAGAUAGAUAGAUAGAUAGAUAGAUAGAUAGAUGAUAGAUGGUAGAUAGAUAGAUAGAUAGAUAGAUAGAUAUAGAUAUAGAUAGGUGAUAGAUGAUGAUAGAUAGUUAGAUAGAGAGAUAGAUAGAUAGAUAGAUAGAUGAUAGAUAGAUAUAGAUAGAUAGAUGAUAGAGAUAGAUAGAUGAUAGAUAGAUAGAUAGAUAGAUGAUAGAUAGAUAGAUGAUAGAUAGAUGAUAGAUAGAUAGAUAGAUGAUAGAUAUUAAUGACCUCCAGCAGCUAAUAUGGUUUCUUUCUUUAUUCUCACAGUACCCUUAAGAAGUAGGUUAGACGAUGACUUUCCCAAGUUCACCCAAGUAUGGGUUCAUGUUGAAGUUUCCCUGGUCUAAAUCAACACUCUGGACAUUAUGGUUUCUUUUGCACCUAAUCAAUAGGCAUUUAUGUAGGUUAGGUGCAGCUAAUUGAGCAUUUGGCUCAUAUUCAGCAGAACAUAAACAGAGCCAAAUGGAUUAUAAGCCCUUUUAAGAUUCCACCCUUCAGCUGUUUGGCAAGGAAGGGCAGAAAUGUUUGGACCUUGAUCUCCUGCUACUCUGGAUGCGGCACCAUGGCUACAACAUUCAUUUGUGGUCAGGGGUACCAACUUGAACAAAAUAUGGGAGCAGGCAGGUAAGCUCCGCCCCACAUAAUUGAUCACAAGACAUGACACAGGCAGACCAUUUGAAUGGCAAUGCUCAUCAAUAUUGGAGGGC